rnacentral:rRNA from 1 species
CCGCAUAGGACCACGAGAUCGCAUGGUUUUGGGGUGAAAGGAGCAAUCCGGUGUGAGGUGGGCUCGCGUCUGAUUAGAUAGUUGGUGAGGUAACGGCUCACCAAGUCAACGAUCAGUAGCCGACCUGAGAGGGUGAUCGGCCACAUUGGGACUGAGACACGGCCCAGACUCCUACGGGAGGCAGCAGUGGGGAAUAUUGGGCAAUGGGCGAAAGCCUGACCCAGCAACGCCGCGUGAAGGAAGAAGGUUUUCGGAUCGUAAACUUCUGUCCUAUGUGAAGAGGAAGAGACGGUAGCAUAGGAGGAAGCCCCGGCUAACUACGUGCCAGCAGCCGCGGUAAUACGUAGGGGGCGAGCGUUGUCCGGAAUGAUUGGGCGUAAAGGGCGCGUAGGCGGCUUGGUAAGUCUGGAGUGAAAGUCCUGUUUUCAAGAUGGGAAUUGCUUUGGAUACUGCUUAGCUUGAGUGCAGGAGAGGUUAUCGGAAUUCCCGGUGUAGCGGUGAAAUGCGUAGAGAUCGGGAGGAACACCAGUGGCGAAGGCGGGUAACUGGACUGCAACUGACGCUGAGGCGCGAAAGUGUGGGGAGCAAACAGGAUUAGAUACCCUGGUAGUCCACACUGUAAACGAUGAAUGCUAGGUGUAAGAGGUAUCGACCCCUUUUGUGCCGGAGUCAACACAAUAAGCAUUCCGCCUGGGGAGUA